rnacentral:lncRNA from 1 species
AACGCCGCCGCGUUCAAGAACAAGAACUCGGAAUUUGCUUGAUAAUGUGGCAGCGAGUGGACAACCGGCCGUUCCGCCGCCGACGAUUAUGUAGUCGUAGUAAUCUACUUCGGGAAAUUCCGUCGCAUUGGACACAAAUUUCAGGUAAUCGGGAUCUGGUUUCACGUAAAUUUCAGAUUAUUAAUUCAUUAUAUUCAAUAAUUUUUUUAAAAAAAAAUUGUUUAAACUAUACCUUGUUGAGAGGAGUUUGGAAGAGCGGAUGAAGCGGAAAAGAUGAGCAAGAACGUGAGGAUUUGAGAGUGGAAGGAAAUGCGAGACUCCAUUGAUGGAGAGAGGAGAGCUUGUGAGUGUUUCUUGGAAGAAGGAAACAGAGGCAUUUUCUUGGAUUCUUGAGAGUGGUAAUAUGAUGAUCAAGAAUGGUUGUUGGUUGUUGGGGAUUCAGUUGAAAAUUGUUUCAUAUUCUCAAGAGAGAUUAUGCCCAAUUAUGAACCAAUAAGAAAGCCUUUGUUGUUGUUAAAUGAGAGAUUUUUUUACCUCUUUUUCCAUUUGGUAUAUAUAUCAACUUGAUCGAAGCAGCUUUUUUAUAUCAUUUAUUACUCAAUGGAAUUGGAAUAAUUUUCAUCUUUUUUUUCUUUU